rnacentral:tRNA from 1 species
GGACCGGUGGGUGAGUUGGCUGAAACCACGUCCCUGCUAAGGACGCGUAGCCGCGAGGUUACCGAGGGUUCGAAUCCCUCCCUGUCCGCCA